AACGAACGUUGGCGGCGUGGAUUAGGCAUGCAAGUCGCGGGAAUCCCAGCAAUGGGGGAACCGGCGUAAGGGGCAGUAAGGCAUGGGUGACCUACCCGGCGGUUGGGCAUAGCCCGUAGAAAUACGGGGUAAUUCCCAGCGAUGUCGUAAGACCAAAGCUCCGGCGCCUCCGGAGGGGCCCAUGUAGUAUUAGCUAGUUGGUGGGGUAACGGCCCACCAAGGCAAAGAUGCUUAGCGGGUGUGAGAGCACGACCCGCGCCACUGGCACUGAGACACUGGCCAGACACCUACGGGUGGCUGCAGUCGAGGAUCUUCGGCAAUGGGCGCAAGCCUGACCGAGCGACGCCGCGUGUGCGAUGAAGGCCUUCGGGUUGUAAAGCACUGUCGAGGGGGAGAAAAGCGCAAGCUUGAUCUAUCCCUGGAGGAAGCACGGGCUAAGUUCGUGCCAGCCGCCGCGGUAACAC
rnacentral:rRNA from 1 species